rnacentral:rRNA from 1 species
GCAGCCGCGGUAAUACGUAGGUGGCGAGCGUUAUCCGGAAUCAUUGGGCGUAAAGAGGGAGCAGGCGGCAGCAAAGGUCUGUGGUGAAAGCCCGAAGCUUAACUUCGGCAAGCCAUGGAAACCAUGCAGCUAGAGUGCAGUAGAGGAUCGUGGAAUUCCAUGUGUAGCGGUGAAAUGCGUAGAUAUAUGGAGGAACACCAGUGGCGAAGGCGACGAUCUGGGCUGUAACUGACGCUCAGUCCCGAAAGCGUGGGGAGCAAAUAGGAUUAGAUACCCC